rnacentral:rRNA from 1 species
UACGGAGGGUGCAAGCGUUGCUCGGAAUUAUUGGGCGUAAAGGGGAGGUAGGUGGUCUCAUUUGUCUGGGGUGAAAGCCUUGAGCUUAACUCAAGAAGUGCCCCGGAAACGGUGAGACUGGAGUCCUGGAGAGGGUCGUGGAAUUCCCGGUGUAGCGGUGAAAUGCGUAGAGAUCGGGAGGAACACCUGAGGCGAAGGCGGCGACCUGGACAGGUACUGACACUCAACGCCGAAAGCGUGGGGAGCAAACAGG